UCCUGGGCACUGGUGAGGUGGUCUGACCAGGAUUCAAACCUUCAUAGGUUUGGAGGUUCAUAGGUUUGAAUCCUAGUCAGACCACCUCACCAGUGCCCAGGA